AAAAAGUGCAGUUAUGGUUUUCCGUGUCCAACGUUUGACCGUCCGUAUUACUUAAAAAAAAAUAUUAUUAAUGUUUUUAUUGUUAUUAGAUGCUAAAAUAUGAAUAGUAUUUUAUAUGUGACUUUUUUUAAAAAAAAAAUCUAACUAAGAUAGACGGUCAAACGUUGGAUACUGAAACUCACAACUAUAAUUAUA
rfam:Oryza meridionalis cultivar OR44 (W2112) chromosome 2, whole genome shotgun sequence.